rnacentral:misc_RNA from 1 species
GAUGAAGAACGUAGCGAAAUGCGAUAAGUAGUGUGAAUUGCAGAAUUCAGUGAAUCAUCGAAUCUUUGAACGCACAUUGCGCCCCUUGGUAUCCCGAGGGGCAUGCCUGUUCGAGCGUCAUUUCACCACUCAAGCCUGGCUUGGUGUUGGGCGACGUCCCCUUUGGGGACGCGCCUCGAAACGCUCGGCGGCGUGGCACCGGCUUUAAGCGUAGCAGAAUCUUUCACUUUGGAAGUCGGGGCCCCGUCUGCCGGAAGACCUACUCGCAAGGUUGACCUCGGAUCAGGCAGGGAUACCCGCUGAACUUAAGCAUAUCAAUAAGCGGAGGA